UUAGAAAACAGACAUGAAAAAUGCAAACCAAACACCAUUUUUCAGAAAUACGCGUUUUUCAAAAAAUGAAAAUGAAAAACAUGCAAACCAAACGCACCCUAAGUUUUUGUCAAUUUAUGAUUAAGUAUAUACACUUGAGGUGACCCUUGCCAAUGGUCUGUCUUCAGAUUCAGCAUAUUUAUUAUUUUCUACUUCGAUAAAGUAUAGCAAUGAUCCUGAUACCAAUCAACGGAGAUGGACCUUGUAAAAUGUCUUCGGAAAUUUUAUGGACAUAGAGUUCCUCUCGAUAUCUAAUUUUUUUGCUUGGCUUGUUUCUUUGUUCUACAAACUCCCAAGUCCAAUGUGUUCUUCGAGCCUCAAGGCAUGGAUGAUGGAUCUAACCGCAAUAUGCAUACACUUUGGAACUUUGGAAUCACAUGUUAGCCAAGUGUGCAUUUUCAAUUUCAGGAGCAGAUCAGGAGCUCAUGUGGCCUUUCUUGAUACUGAGUACAAAAGGAGAUGCAGCAUCAUUUGGAAAUUGUGAAAGAGCAAGAGCAUACAAAGAAGAAAAUUUUAUUCUCUAAAAGAAUUUGAUAGUACCCGGGAGCAGAAGUGUUAAAGUGGAUGAUAGAUGGAGGUGAUCCAAUGCACUGCUACAUGAAUGCAUCUUGUUAUCCUUAAAGAUUUGUGAUUUGAUGAUAGUGGAGAUAGAUGGAGGGGAUCCAAUGCACUAAUCAGAUCUCAGUGCUCUGCUCUUUAAUGUGUUUGCCAACUCUUCUGAUACCUCCACAAGCAGUGACCCACAUGAACAACCCCAGAAUUGCAGGCUGCACUAGGGGUGUCCAUCAUUUGUAGGUUGAAAGCUACACAGAUUUUGUUAUGCCUUUCUUUAUUGGAUUUAUUGCAUGGUUUUAGCUCAUCUAAUUUAAUCUUUGAAUUUUAGUA